rnacentral:rRNA from 2 species
GUUGAAUGACGUGCUCGCACUUGAUUUCACAAUGAAGCGAGUGGCGAACUGGUGAGUAACACGUGGGGAAUCUGCCCAGAAGCAGGGGAUAACACUUGGAAACAGGUGCUAAUACCGUAUAACAACAAAAUCCGCAUGGAUUUUGUUUGAAAGGUGGCUUCGGCUAUCACUUCUGGAUGAUCCCGCGGCGUAUUAGUUAGUUGGUGAGGUAAAGGCCCACCAAGACGAUGAUACGUAGCCGACCUGAGAGGGUAAUCGGCCACAUUGGGACUGAGACACGGCCCAAACUCCUACGGGAGGCAGCAGUAGGGAAUCUUCCACAAUGGACGAAAGUCUGAUGGAGCAAUGCCGCGUGAGUGAAGAAGGGUUUCGGCUCGUAAAACUCUGUUGUUAAAGAAGAACACCUUUGAGAGUAACUGUUCAAGGGUUGACGGUAUUUAACCAGAAAGCCACGGCUAACUACGUGCCAGCAGCCGCGGUAAUACGUAGGUGGCAAGCGUUGUCCGGAUUUAUUGGGCGUAAAGCGAGCGCAGGCGGUUUUUUAAGUCUGAUGUGAAAGCCUUCGGCUUAACCGGAGAAGUGCAUCGGAAACUGAGAGACUUGAGUGCAGAAGAGGACAGUGGAACUCCAUGUGUAGCGGUGGAAUGCGUAGAUAUAUGGAAGAACACCAGUGGCGAAAGCGGCUGUCUAGUCUGUAACUGACGCUGAGGCUCGAAAGCAUGGGUAGCGAACAGGAUUAGAUACCCUGGUAGUCCAUGCCGUAACGAUGAGUGCUAGUGUUGAGGGUUUCCGCCCUUCAGUGCUGCAGCUACGCAUUAGCACUC